rnacentral:lncRNA from 1 species
CAAUCAGAGAAGCCCCUGCCGCUGUGCGCGGGGCUGGCGGACUGUGCGGCCCCGCGGACUGCCCGCCCGGGGAGGGGGGGUUUGCGUGAGGACCGCGUUCCGUUCGCCCCAGGUGACCCAGGUGCUGCGCUGCCCUCGGGCUUCCCGCCUCCCAGGGCCGACGAGAAGAACCGUUGGUUUGAAAGGCGGGCGCGGGCAGCGCCUGGAGUGAGCCGGGCGGGCGCGGGGCGCGGGGCGCGGGGACUCUGUCUUGGGGGGCGCGUGCGCCCCUGGCUAAGGGCUGGGGGUGUGGACGACGCGGAAGGACCACGGCCGACCUGGCCCGCUCGGUGCAGGUGCAGGGACAAGGACAGUAGUCACCUGCUGUCAGCAAAGGCGACGCCAGGUCGCACGGGGAAGGAGCCUUGCUAGGGUCACGGAGCUAGGAAGUGACGGACUGGCCCUAGCCUGGGCGGGGGUGUGUGCGGCUGCUGUCAGAAACCCAGACGAGGGACAUCUAGGAGAGUAAAUGAAAGGCUGCCGGAGGUCCGGGGGUGGCAAGGGGAGCACGGAACCCAGAGAAGACCUAGCAGGGGGCAGAGAAAGGGCAAUAGGAGCGACCCUCGGGUGCCCAGGGUCCACCGGUCGGUGGGGUCCCGGAUGGCGUGGGUCUGCCCUGAGCAGCGUAGAGCCAAAAUGAGGCGUACACGGGCGACUUGAGAUCAUGGGCAGAGAGCGGGGGGGUGAUGGUCAGCGGCUGAGGGGCCGCACCGGGGGUGCAGGGGCUGCCUGAGUGGAAGACUUGCCCAUGUCUCCCAGGUAAGUGCCGAGGUGCGAGGGUGCGCCAUCUUCCUGUUCGGGGAUGUCAUCCACAGUGGGGGCAAGAAGUUCCGGCAGGCGCUCAAGACCUUUGCCUUCCAGGCCCUGGUGCCCCUGCUCUUCCACCUGGCAGACUCCUGCCCUGAAGUGGUCAUGGUGAGCAGCCCUGGCCUGGCUGGGGUGGCCGCGAGAGCCAGGUGUGGGGAGAACCCAUCUGCUGGUGGGGCUGGAGGACUCAGCCCUGUAGGCAGAGCACAACAGGGCACCAUCCCGGACCCAUUCAGACGGGAGAGGCCACACCUGGCCCUGCAGGUGAACAGGCAGAUGGAGAAAAGGAAAGGACUCAUCCCAGAGAUGGUCCUGGCUUUUGGAGCUCCACUGACCGCAGCCCCCUCCCCCCCACACACCAAAAGUAAGCCCAGCAUUUAGGUCCCCCUGCUCCCUUCCCUGGGCCAGGGGUGCAGACCAUGUCCUGCACAGGGGUACCUGCUUUCCCAGAGCCCCCUCCCCAGGAGUUCCCCACAUCCAGUUUCCACAAGGAUCCACAGGGUAGCCCUGCAGUCCCUGGAUUUGUCACAUGCUGUCUCUGCAGACCACUCCUGUAGCGUUAAGCUGUCGACCGUCACCUCGGGACUCUGAACAGCCUGGCCCAGGCUCCUUCCCCAAACGGUGCAGGCCCUUUCUCUGAGGCAGAGUGCCCCAAGUUGACUUCCUUGGAUGCCCCUCUCUGCCUGUUGCUCAGCCUGUGUCCUUCCUAGCUUCAAGAAGGAGGCCUGGCAGCCAGGGUGACCACUGGCCUCUCCUGAAGCUUCAUGUGAAUUAGAGCAGGGCACCAGAGGGCUCAGGGAGUGGAGGUCCCUGGUGUGGUUGCCCCCUCCUCUGGCAGCAGUCUCCCCACCCCAGCAAGGUGCAUUUGUCCUUGGGUGUUAUCCUUGCCGAAUCCUCCCCUGAGGUCUGCUUGGGGGGAAUGUGGUGAGGCAGAGGCAGAGUACCCCGGGGUGACCCACCUGCUCUGCCUACAGAAGACCAAGCUCACCUUCCUGCGCUGCGCCAUCUUGCUAAAGUGGGAAUUCCGGAAGGAGCUGUUCAGCAAGUUGGCAUGGGGCCGAGGACUGGGUGCCGAGAACGAUGUUUUUAUCUACAUGGUAAGGUGUGGGCACUCCCAGAGGUGGGAGGAGGAGAUGGUUGUGCUCACCCCAGCCCUCUGAGUGGGGUCCAUCAGCAGUGGAGAGUCUGUCCUGUGUCUUUCUGUUUAGUGUCCUUGGUCCCUGUCCACAGUGGAGCCCAGGUCCUCUCCAGUGGCUGGGGGAACACAGCUCUCACACCAUGUACCCGAACUGUGUCCAGAGCCACUGUGGAGUGGCCCUAACGGUGUGAUGGAGAAAGGGCCAAGGUUCUACCUGCAGGCGCAGCUGGGCCCAGGAGGGGUGCAGGAAACACUGCCCCUCUCAUUCUCAGCUGCCAGUUCAAUCUCUGACCCAGCCUCUCCUGUCCUCCCAGUGGCCUAGGCUGUCCAGAUGACAGUUUCAGGGUUUGGGGCAAGGCCGAGGUCACCAGAAGAUGCAGCAGGCCUCCUCAGGCCUCCCUGAUCUGGCCACAGCCACCAGGGCCCCGCAAGCUGGGGACACUACCUGUCUUGUCCACGAGCCUCCUGAUCACUGCUGUCCUUGCCCUGCCAUUCCUCAGCCUUGGAGGAUCCCUCCACUGUUCAGAGUGACCGCGGUGUCCUCAGGGUUUGGGUCUGUGGGACGGGGAAGGCAGGAGGUAUGCAGCUGUGUCGCCCCGCCCUCUCCUCCAGGGGACGCAGGGCAGAGCCCUUUCGUGCGUGCCUGAGGGCAGCUGUGGAAGGAGGGAAGCCAGGGGCAGUUUUCUGAGGCUGCCAGCCAGGCUGGUCUUGGCGCUACCAGCAGGCUGCGCGUGGUGGGCGUGGACAGGUGGCGGUUGGUCUCCAGGCCCAGGAUCAGACGCAAGGCCUUCCUGCUGCGGCCGGCCCAGCCCAGGCUGGCUCGGAGCUCGGCUUCCCUGGGGGAGCGACAGCUCGCCCCCCAGCCCUGGGCCCAGGUGUUCAGUCAGAAGGGCCGCUUGUCCUGGGACCCAGUCUUUCACUUAGCGUGGAUGGGGCUUCCUGCCCGCAGGUGUGGGCUCUUGGCCGUUUCUUCACACACAGCCAGUGACGUGUCCUUUUCUGCGCUCACCGUUUCUGGCUGUGUGGAAGUUCUGGUCGCCCGAGGUUGAACGUGCUCCCCUGGCUGGCCUGGGCUUUCCCCUGCUCCAUGUGACAGGCCGGCAUGGGGCAGGCCCUGGAGGGCUGAGCUGAGCCUGUGGAGGGUGGGGGGCAUCCUGGGCUGUGCCCGUGGACGGGGGUGGCAUGGUGCUGAACUCAGUGCCCACGGAGCAGGGUGCUGCUCACCCAGUGCCUGUAGCGGCACAGUGUCACCAUGGCACGUGAGUGCGACAGUGGCAUCUGAACACAGUCCUGACCAUUUGGUCAGUGCGCCGUCAGGCCCUCUGGAGACAGGCAGCAAGUGGCUGUGUGGGCAGGAGUGUUCAGUGUAGCUGGGGAACAGGGGCGGCCACCAAGAAGUGGAGAGGAUCCAGGACACAGGAGUGGACACCAUCCCCUGAGACCAGGGAGGCCCGCCCCAUGGCCACAGGCCUGGCGGGGGCCGAUGGAGUGCACAGGCUGCUGGGUGAGCCUCUGGGUGCUGGGAAGAGCCACUCCGGGGAGACACUGAGCACACCCAGGAGCCCUGGGGAGAAGCUGCCACCGUGCUCCGUGACGCUGCAGACCUGGCUGGCAGCCCCUCCUGCAGGCUCCCUCCAUGGCCAUCUCCUGACCACACUGCAGGGCCAGCUGGCAGAGGGAUGUGCUCAGGGCCCAGAAACUGUCUGUAGAGUCGGCUCAGUGGACACGACUGGAGGAGGAGGCAAGGAAGGAGGUCUGCAGUGGUCGCCGGACCUUGCGCGUGCGCUGUGUGCGACCUCCCCUCCGGGUGCUCCUUUUCUCGCCACGUGGCUGCCGCGCUCUGGGCUGUGUCCCAGGGUCAUGGCCCAGUGCUCCAAGGCUGCCUCUGUCCACCUCUGAUUCACUUGAAGACCUCCGUUGCCUGUCUGGGGUUGAUGGCUGCAGCCCGUGGUGUGGAUCUGGAGUGACCCCAAGGGGUCCCCCGUGAGCAGUGCCCAGAGGUGGGCUUUUAGGGAGUGACUGGAUCAUGAAGGCUCUGGCCCUGUCAGCUGGUUGAACCGUUGGAGGGGUUAGAACUUGACUGCUGGGAGGUGGCCGGAACUGUGGGCCGCGGGACAUGGUUGGAGGAAGCAGGUCCCUGGGGGCGUGGCCUCGGGGACUCUCUUGUCCCUGCCCCUUCCCCUUUCUCUCUGCUUCCCAGCUGCCAUGAACCAAGCUGCUCUCCUCUGGUGCCCCUCCUGUCCCGUGCCCCUCCCAUCCUGUGUCCUCCUGUCCCAUGCCCCUUCUGUCCCGUGCCCCUCCCGUCCCGUGCCCUCCUGUCCCGUGCCCCUCCCAUCCUGUGUCCUUCUGUCCCGUGUUGUCCUAUCCCGUGUCCUCCCGUCCCGUGUCCUCCUGUCCCGUGCCCCUCCUGUCCCGUGCCCCUUCUGUCCCGUGCCCCUCCCAUCCUGUGUCCUCCUGUCCCGUGUUGUCCUAUCCCGUGUCCUCCUGUUCCGGGUCCUCCUGUCCCGUGCCCCUCCUGUCCCCGUGCCCCUCCUGUCCCAUGUCCCUCCUGUCCCGGGUCCUCCUGUCCCGUGCCCCUCCCGUUCUGUGCCCUCCUGUCCCGUGCCCCUCCUGGGCUACCUCACGGCAGGCCCAGAGCAAGCGCCCCCCCCCCCCCCCCCCCCCCCCGCCCCAUGGACCGAGAUCUUCCAAACGGAGACCUCCUCCUCUGAAGUGUCUUGUCAGGGUUCUGGUCACAGAGACAGAGGCCGGCACAGAGGGCCUUGACCGUGUCCUGUGUGCACCUUUUCUGCAGCUCUAGUCAUUUUAGAAAGUGCUCAGCUGCCUCUGCUCGGCGGUCAGCUCGGCAGUGCCUGAGGAGUCCACCACCGUCCUCUUGCUGACGUGGUGCUGUGCAUCAGGGGCCCUCUGGGCACCCUGCAGCGGGGGUGUCUUCUGCUUGCUGAGCCCUGGGGUGACUUUCCCUCUUCCUCACCUUGGACUGUCCUAGGCAGGCUGUGAGUCCACACGGUAGCUCCAGCCUGCCAUGCCCUGGCUGGGCUGGAGGUGAGCGUCUCUGGCCUCUGCCUGUCCUUGGGGCUGGUCCUCCUUGUGGGCACUGAGCUCAACCUCCGCAUGGGCAGACAGCCCGCUGCUUAGGGCAGCCAGCGCGUGGGCUCUGACCUCGGACGAUUGCAGUCCUGCCCUCAGGAAGCAUUGUUCUUUUCCGCUUGCUUGAAGGGUUUUAAGAGGGAUUUGUUGACACUUUCUUUGAUCUUGGAGCUGUGUCCUGCAUGGAGGGGCAUCUGCAUGACCAUUUCUAUUUUACCUCACACCCAGUGUGCUGAUCUCAUUCAUGAAAUCCACCUUUUAAGCCUUAAAAGUCAACACUACUAACAUGACGUUUGCCCAUCAGGAGGUCCACCCAUAAAUUAAAACUUAUCUAACUCAGUGAACUUCCUUGAAUAGUCACGUACAUGACGGACUCACGGACACGGCUCUAGGUACUUAAUCAGAGUCCUACAUUUUAGCAUAAGGUUCUUGUGUUUGCAGCACUGAAGCGAGGCAUGGCGGGUGCCACCAGCCCCGUGUGGCCCUUUGAGUGCUGUGGGUGGCCUCCCUGCUGGCCUUCCAGAGCUCCCCAGGUUCAGACCUUCCUAGGCCUCUGUAGUUCCUCAGUCGCCCCAGUGCUGGUGGCUCCACGAGCUGUUUUCCACCUGGGCCCUGGUCACAGCCAUCGUCCCUGCUUGCUGGGCACAGGGUCUGGCUGCAGUGGCCUCUCGCCACCCUAGGGAGCAGACUUUUUUUUUUAGUACCAGGGAUUGAACUCAGGGGCAGUUGACCACCGAGCCCCACCCCAGCCCUAUUUUGUAGUUUAUUUAGAGACAGGGUCUCGCUGAGUUGCUUAGGGCCUCACUGUUGCUAAGGCUGGCUUUGAACUUGUGUCCUCCUGCUUUGGCCUCCCGAGCCACUGGGAUGACCGGCGGUGGUGCGCCUGGUGAGCAGACCAUUUCUGAGAGUCAGCCCCUUCCUGUCUGCCCGCUGUGAGCACAGGUGGCUCUUCGCCCAGUGCCUCGUGGGCCAGGGGUCAUCGUGUCAUCGUUAGUGUGGUUUGUUGCAAGGGCCCCAUGAGGCCUCUCCUGCUGGUUGCUGGGUAGGGACCCAGAGCUGGCCCAGCCCCCUCCAGCCCCGCCCAGAUGGCCAGGUGGUCCCCGAUUCUGCGGUGGGAGCAGCUCCCAUCAGUGCUUGGUGUGUGAGAGUGACGAGCCCCGGCCCUGCCCUUGGGUCGUCGCCUCCUCCCCUGCUUCACGGUCCUCUGCUCUGUGGCCUGCGUCCAUCUGCUGGCACCAUUGCCGGCUGACAGGCAGGACAGCCAAGAACAGGGUCACCUCUGCGGGAGCAGCGCACUGCCCUUGGGACGUGCCCAGGAGGCCUGCUCCAGGCUCCACAGCUCCUUGGUGCGCAGCAGCACACCUUGGCAGGGUGGUCUCCCCCCCUGCCCGUCUCCCCUCUGCCCGUCUCCCCCUCUGCCCGUCUCCCCCUCCACCUGUUUCUGCACACGCAGCAGGUGAUAGAGGGAGUGUUCCAGGAACCCUCGGCAUCACCACCCUCACCGCAGAUUGUCACAUCUUGGCCAGGAGCUGUCCUCUGCCUAGAGAGCCUUUGCUCUGACAGUGGCCCUGGAUUGUAAAGCCUUCUUCUCUGGCAACAUUAAAACAACCCAGGCCCUUCCUGAUUUCUCCCACCCAACAUAUGGGAUCGGUGCCUGCAGGGAGUCCUGGCUCUGGGGAAUGGGAGACCAAAGGGCCAGAGCGGGGGUCCUGGCCUGGGCCAGAGUCCCCCGCUGGAGUGGAUUCAGCUGGGCAGGCUGCAGGUGGGUGGCCACUCCCAGCGUGUGGGCCUGCUGACAGCAGAAGUGCUCUUCUGUCUGGAGGGUAACUGGGGCGAGCAGGUGGCUUUGGAGGAGGGUCCUCAGGCUCAGGCCCAGGGCCGUGUGUGGAAGCCAGGACCAGGCUUGGGCAGAAAGGGUGGCAGUGCAGGCUGCUCUGUCCACUUAGCCAGUGGAAGAAGCCGUCAGUGCACCCUGGGUUGGGCAGGAAUGGCCAGGUGGGUGUUAGUGGCUUGACCACGGCCACUCCUGGGACAGUGGCUGGGUACAGAAAUAUCCCCAGUGUCCUGUGGGGAACGCAAGGGCUGAGGCUGGAGGCUGGGCACCCACCAGGGUUCUUGUAGCACCAGCAGCACAAAAGCAGGCUCACACAGGCUCCGACAGACAAAGGGGCUUACCAAACGGAAGGCGGUCGUCGCAGCAGCAGCAGGGCCUGGGCAGAUGCUCAAGUAGGUCCUGCCCUGCCCCCGAGCUGGCUUUGUCUUGGCUCCAUGCAGGCCUGUCCAGGAGAGGUGCACUGUGGCCAUUUCCAACCCCCUAGUCCUGCGCUGGGCUGCCUGGGGUGUUGGCCUGGGCUGGGCUGGGCCCCUGGCGUGGGCAGUAGAGGCCUUCUGGAGGAUGCCCGGGGUGAGCUUUGGAAGGGGCCCUAGAUGAGGCUGGUCCCAAUCCUCUGACACCUGAGGUGGGAUUGGGCGGAGGAGCUGGGCCUGCGGGGGGUCUCAGCUCUGGUUCCCUCCUGCCACCUGAGGGUCGCAGGUGAUCGCCCUUCACUCCCUGGCUGGAACUGCCAUGGGGGCCUCAGACAGAACAGGGCCACAGAGGCCAGGUGCCACCUGGGCCCAGCUUGGCCACCAGCCACUCCUCUUCCCCCAGAUAGAGAGCAACUUUGGCAACUACCACCAGUUUCUCAUGCAGGCCCUGACCUACCUGCACAGCCCCCACAGGAACCUGAAACUGGCCGCCAUGAGGUUCAUCGGUAGGCGCCCGCCUGCACCCUGGCCGCCCCCUGCCGGAGCCUGCGGGUGGGUGCAGGCUGGUAUCCAGUGACACUGCCCACCCCCUGCCUGUCCCAGGGGGAAUGCUUCAGGACUACUUCGCUGACCUCUGCUUCUACCUGAAGAAGGGUGACAUAAAAACCCUCAAGAAAAGUGAGCCACACCCCAUGCCCCAGGGCUGGGCAGCACAGGGCCUCGGGUGGCCGACUGGGACCCCUGGGGACACAGCUUCAGAGUCAGACACAGGGUCUCUGCCACAGGCUUGAAGACCCUCAGGGAGGACCCGGACUCCAUGUGCCGCAGGUUCUACCUGAACUUCAUGGGAGACGUCAUGGAACUGUCCCACUAUGUGACCUGACCACAGGCCUCAGCCGCCACCAGGCUCGCCCCGUCCUGGUCCUUGUUGAGUUCUCUAUUAAAUGCUGACAGCAGGUUCGGGCCUCAGGCUUUGCAGGCCCCGGGCCCCAGGCAUUGCAGGUCCUGGCCUGGGCCAGACUGUCCCUCCGCGGUCGCCACUGGGGACUGUGGAAUGCAAUGGCCUUGCCAUGCCUGUCCUUCGGGGCGUGAUGUGGGGGAGCAUGAGCCCAGGACUGGGUCAUCUGUGCCAGCCCUUUCCUCCCCUUGCCCGUCCUCAGCCCGCCUGCCCCCUCUCGCCACUCCCCAGCUCAAGCAGAGUUGUCUAGGUCCACUCCUGGUCCGUGUCCGUCCUGCCAGCGCCCACUGGAGCCUGCAGCCGUUGCCCUCUCUGGUGGCCCAGCUCUGCGCCCUCACUCUUGCUGAGCCAGCACAGCCUUCAGGGACACCCCGUCCCCGCAGCUUGGCUGCUGUCUUUGCUCUCUGGCUCCCAGCGUGGACGCCCACUCCUCCCUCUGUAAAGCUCUGACCUUCCCCAAGCCUAAACCACCUCUGCCCACACCAGGCACAGGGACCCUGAGCAGUCCUGGCGCUUUGGGCUCCUCGUCACUGCCAGCCAGUGCAGUGACAGUGGUGGGGAUGGGGCCCCAGAUGGGCUGCUGUCCUGGGGCGGCCUGUGCCCUCCAGAAGGAUCUGAGACAUUCAGGAAUCACCCAGGAGGGGAGUUCUUGGGAAAGGUAGUGCCCAGGCUCAACCUCAGAGGCACCAGGAAGGGAGGCUCAGGCCGGGGGAGGCUGAAGACGUGCCCGGGCCCUGCACCUGUGGGCCUGGGCUAUGAGAAGCUCUUCUAGCAGCCCAGGGCAGAGGCCUGAGGCCCCUCCCACAGUCGUUGCCCUCUGGUGCCCAGCCAGUCCCUCCGCCCAGCUAUGCGCUGGGUGACAGGGACACUGAGGGCAGGGGGGAGUGGGAAUGGGAGGACCAUGCAUCUGGCCCAGGGCAGUCGAGCCGUGGUGACUGUUAGUUCACUGUCUGUGCAGAGGGAGCUGAGGCCGUGAUGUGGU